rnacentral:lncRNA from 1 species
AUAUCCAUGAACAGAUGGCCACAGCGUGGGGGCCGUGAGGCUCAGACCUUUGAGGACGGACUAUGCUGGUGACACUAGAAAAGGUUCUGCAGCCUCAAGAGGAGGAGGGUGGUAAUUGGCUGGAGCCAGAAGCAGCUGCCCGGAGGGUGGAACACAUGGUCUAUGAUUCCCACAGUCUCCACCAUACCCUGUGGGUUCACACCUGGUCGGCCUCAUAUUUAUGGCAUUUACGGCAUCUCCCUGAUCUCUGCAGCUUCCCGAGUCAGCAAGCCCUGAUGUAACAGAGCACCCACGGCUUGUGGAAGUCCCCAUGCCAGGGAUCGAACCUGUGCUGCGGUUGCAACCUGCGCCACAGUGGUGGAGAUGCCGGAUCCUUAACCCGCUGCACCAAAGGAAACUUCCUGGUGUCUCUUCCCCUUAGGAGAUAUGAGUCCCAGUGGGUUAGGGUCCCACCCUUAUGACUUCAUUUAACCUUAAUUACUUCCUUAAAGAUUCUAUUUCCAAAUACAAUCACAUUGCAGGUUAGAGCUUCAACUCAGGAAUUUUUUUGGCCCUGCCCAUGGCAUGUGGAAAGUUCUGGGGCCAGGGACUGAACCUGCUCCACAGCAGUGACAACAUCAGACCCUUAACCCACUGAGUCAACAGGGAACUCCAACAUACGAAUUUUGGAUGCAAUUCAGUCCAUAAUGUUAGGAAAACGAGAAAAUCCAAUUAAGAAGAAGAAAAAAAAUCACUCAUCAUCUCUCUUGCCCCUGGCUCAUCUCAGCUCAAUCUAACCACAUCAACACUUUUACUAUUAUAUUUUUAAAAUUGAAAAUUUUACACACUUUCUUGGUAAUCUGCUUUUUUUUUUUUUCUUUUCACAUUUAUAGUAACCUAAGCUAAACGGAAAUGUUAUGGUAACAUAUACUUGUAACUUGUUUUUUAAUUGUAACCUUCCUCAUUUAGUGAAUUAUAAAUUGUCCCAUAGUAAGGACAGAGUCUAAUUUAUUUUUCUAAUCCCUUAUUGUCUGGACACUCUGAAUUCUAUUCACUAUGGACUUGCCUGUUUGUUAGCUCAUGACUUUGGUCUAAUAAUAACUCCAUCCACCUGAGCAUCAGUUUUCCGCAUCCAUGUUAUCAGAAUCACAGUAUCACCUCAACUGAGAUAAUGACUCUAAGGUGCUUAGCACAGUAUCUGGUGCACGGAAAACGCUCAGAGCUGUUUUUAUAAUCACAUAUAUAUUUAUAACAGUGGGUCCAAGAUUCCCCAUCUCACUGUGUCCUGAAUUCACAUUCAAGGGCAACCUCUUUGUGGCCACGCCCAUCCCUAGUCGUCACGGAAGAAGGGCAGGAAUCCCAUCACUGGCAGAGCACAUUUGGCCCCCAGUGUGGAAUAAAACCCUGGAAGGUCGGUAUGUACACUUCAGGCUUUUUCAGAUUUCUAGAACCCAAACGGUCCUUAUUUUCCUGCAUAAAACUUUCCAGCGACUCCCUGGUGCCCUCAGCCCUAUGAUGUGAUAACUCCUAACAGUGGCUGGACAGACCUGGCAGAUGAGACCACUCAGCCUCAUCUCUCACCUCUGCCGCCAGCCGCCUGAAAGUUCAAGUAUACAAGUCCCUCAGACUCACCACUCUGGCUCUCACCUCUGGGCCUUGGCACCUGCUGUCCUCUCUGCCCAGAGCAUGCACCCCUCUCCCCAUCUUCUCUUCAGUAGGCUCAUGCCUCCUCAGCCUUAAAGCCUCCGCUUAAAGGUCUCUGCACAAAAGUUAGUGGUGCCCUCCCUGUGUGCUCACUUUUACAUUUCAGUGCACCCUGGCUCACCCCAGCUGGCAGCACCCACAUGUAUUACCUGAGGGAUUUUUCUGAUCCCAGGGGAACCGUUCUGCCAACGGCAAGGCAGACCUGAAGUGCUGGCGAUGAACCCGCCUCCAAGGAGCAAGCUUAAGCAAUGACAGACUGAACUUGGUAUAUAAAUACCCCCGCUCUCUCCCUCUGGUGGAUAAAAGUGCUUUACCCUGACCUCAAAAUUUCCCCACGGGAUUAAGCUCCAGCCGCUCAGAGUGCUAACCUGCUUGAUACCACGCCUUCUUUGACCGCUUCUCCUGUCUCAUUUCCCCACUUGCCUCCAGGAUUUCCUUCAUCUCCCAUAUCAGCUGCUUCUCCUUCAAUUCCUGUCUCAAGUCUGCUUUGGAGGAACCCACACUGAAAGCCGCGAGCUCCUGAGAGCCUCCCUUGGCAUGUCCGGUGCCUCGGCGGGGCGGGGUGUGCCGGCUGUCCCUUCCUGACUCUAGCACAACCCCUCAUUCCUGCUCCAGAGUAAGAACUCAUCACGCAGUGCCACACUUGCCCAGGUCCCCACGGAAACACAGACAACUCGCUGGGAAAGAAAUUUAAAUGGCUUUUAAACAGUUGAGAAGAGAAUCAAUUUCACUCAUAAUUAAUGAAGUUCAAAUGAAGAAUGUCAGCUGAUACAUGCAGAUGAAAGGACAACAUUAGGAAAUCACUGUUCAGUGCUUACUAACUGAUUCAGUCAAGGACGAUUCAUGGGUGAGGAACUGGAUCCCCACAGGUUCUGGUGGGAAGAGGGAAAAUAGACAUGAGGAGAGAUGUAGUCACCACCUUAACCCAGGAAUCAAACUUGGCAUCAUUCAUGGUGAGACAUCAAGACAUCUCAGAACUCCUGAUGUGAGGCCUGAUAAAACACACAGGACCACCCACGACGGUGUUCAUUCAAUGCUUGACCUCAAAACGUUUAAGCUGAACCUGAUCUAUCCUUUAGAUCUAAGUUCUAGUUUAAAGAAAUACAGGGGUUGGAGGUGGGAAGUGCGACAAGCUGAAGGACAAUGCAAUCAGGGAGUUCCUGUCGUGGCUCAGUGGAAACAAAUCUGACUAGUAUCCAUGAGGACACAGGUUCAAUCCCUGACCUCAUUCAGUGGGUUAAGGCUCCGGCAUCGCCGUGAGCUGUGGUGUAGGUCGCAAACGCAGCGCAGAUCUGGCAUUGCCAUGGCUGUGGCGUAAGCUGGCAGCUGUGGCUCAGAUUAGACCCCCAGCCUGGGAACCUCCAUAUGCUGUGGGUGCAGCCCUAAAAAGCAAAAAAAAAAGGGGGGGGGGAAUGGUAUUGUCUCAUAUAAGAAAAUGACCUGUGUUAGAUAUAAAGUAACUCUGAAGUAUUUAGUGGAUGAAAUACCCUAUCUAUAACUUAUUUCAAAAUACUUCAGGUCCUCACACCCCCCAAUUAAACAAAUAUGGUAGAAUUUUGGCAAUGAUUCUAUCUAGAUGAUAGAUACAUGGGUGUUUGUGGAGCUCUUUUCUUUGCUGUUUCACAUGUUUGAGUUUUUUUUAAUAAUAAAAUGUCAAAAA